AGUGACGUCACUCCUGGCCGCGGGGGCGCUGCGCGUGCGCCUGGAGUCGUGCGCGCUUCCCGCUGCCCUGAGGGUGGUGAGGUGGUGGGGUCGCGCUUCGCCGAGGGGAGCGGGUGUGAGCUCCAUAGCUUGGUGUCACCUGGGAUUUGUGGUGUCGGAACGCGCACAAUAAAAAUGCCUUUACCUGAUAAAAGCCCCUGAGUGCGCACGAGGCCCAAGGGGCGCUGUGCCGUCGUUCCUUUAAGCGAUGGCGGCGGUCAGUCUGACUAGCGGCAGGUCAGGCGGGGACGCCUUCCCUGGGCCGGGCAGGUGGAACACACGCCCUGCCCACGGAACGGCCGGAUUGGAGCUCUUUUCAGUUCUCUUAAAUGAGAGGAAUUGGGUUUUCCCCGUCGGACUGGACAUAAUUGCGUUCUGGUAGUAUAAUGAACAUGGUGAAGGGUCUGGAGGGGAAGCCGUUCGUGGAGUACCUUUUGUGUUACUACUUCAUUGUACCUCAUGCCUUUUGUGGUAUGAGGUCACUUGGGUUGCUCAGCCUGGAGGAGAUUGAAGUCAGACACUGUGGUCUUGGAACUUCCUCAUGAGGGCCAGUAGAGGGGCAGACACUGAUCUCUGCUCCGGUGACUAGUGAUGGGACUUGGGAAUGGCUGAAGUUGUGUCAGGAGACAUCUGGGUUGGAUAUAAGGAAAAGAUUCUUCCCCAGAGGGUGGUUGGGCACUGAAGAGGCUCCCCAAGGAAGUGAUCACAACACUAAGCUUGACAGAGCUCAAGGAAUCUUUGGACACAGCUUUCAGGCACAUGGUGAGAUUUGUGGGACUGUCCUGUGUAGUACUAGGAGCUGGACUCAGUCAUUGUGGGUCCUUUACAACUAAGGAUUUUCUAAUUCUGUUUCCGUUUUUUUCAGCAACAUUAGUGAUGGCAAUAUCAGUAUUGCAGUUGACCAGUCUUGCACAGAUGCCCCCACAAAUACUGUGGUAACUGAUGUGACCCUUAUGGGAGGACUGCAUAAAGAAAUCUUUAGAAGUUCUAACCAUUAUAGUAUGAGGAUUUAACUGCUACUAAUCAAGACAGGAAGGAAUGCAUCCAAUUAGUAGUUUAUCAGGUGAAGUUCUGCUGAUGGAAAGUUCCUUGACCUGGUGAGGCCUAAAACAUUAAUUAUUAAUAAAUUAAUGUAUUAAACAUUGUUCCAGUCGAAUUACCUUAGAGAGGCUGUGUCUAAAUUGUUGAAGCUUUGCGUUGAGGAUUUCCCCAUCUCCAAAGAGUGAAUUGCCUCCUGCUGAUCUCAGCUCUGUUAUUCUUGAGACUAAGUGCGACAAUUCAAUCACAGAAGUCAGAUAUUAAAUAGUCAGUGUUUAAGUGUAUAGUAUGGCAUUUAACGGAUCCCUAAGAGUCAUGGUGAAAUUGGACUUUUGCUUACUGCAGGAUCUAAAGGGACAUGAGAGAAACAGAAAAAAAGAUCAUGCAUAGAACAACAGUUACACCCAUGGAUCAUAAACCAUGAAAUAGACCAUAAAAAUGAUAAGAAAGCUUAUCCAAAUUACAAUUGUUUGAACACAAAGCCCCCUAAGAAAGCAAGCACUAUGAUCAUUCUCAUACAGAACAAACCACUGCUGAGGUAAAACCUUUUGGCUGGUAGUAAUACAAUGAAAAUACUAAUCUUAGCUGUUAAUCCUUUUGAUUUAUAGGUAUUACAUAAAUCAUGCUGCUGAUUUUUCCAAGCCUGCUGUUAGGAUUUGUUGCAUACUGUUCACCUGGAGAGAAUGGCCUGUUGGGAAUUCCUGACUAUUUUUGGGAAUACUUCAGAUGUAAUAUGGACUGCAAAUGUGAGCUUGAAAGUCACAUCAGCAUCUGAAGUCCUUAUCAUGCAGCACUUUCUGACAUGAGGAUUACAGUUCGCUGGAACUUCUGAUGAGACAGUGUCACAGAAGAACCUAAUCUGGGACUUAACCUGGGAUGCAAAACAUCAAAUUCCUGCAGCUCUGCUACAGCCAUCAUAAAGCACCUUAAGCAAAUCAUCCUGCCUCCAUUCCCAUCUCUAACAAUGGGAAAAUAAUUUCUUUCACCAUUCUUUAUUAGUUCAUUAAUUCAGUGGGACAGUGAGUAUGUCCUAUGGCUUAAAUGCCACAUGCUUAAUGCUGUAGGCAUAUUUUAGCACUUUGCUUAGACACCUACAGACCCUAGUACUUCUGUACUCAGCAGCAGCAACACUACAUUGGUUCACAACAACUAAAUGCAGAGUAUAUAUAAAUUUGACUAAGGUAGGUGCUAUGCUUUUUCAUUUCUCAAGAAAAAUAACUGUUCUCAUGAAAUAAAAAAAAAUAACGGAACUAUUAUUACUACAAAAAUGCAGUUUUUCAGCUGUUAAGUCAGCAGGAAAUCUACUGUUACACUUUUUGUAAGAUCACUCCCUUCACCUGAUCACAGGGUAGUGGAUAACUUGCACUUACAUUAACUAUAUUUUAAGCCAUUCUAGCACUUUCCAUAAACAUUUUACCAUUUUGGGUUAUUAUAUUCUGUUGUUUUCCUGCAUGUAGAUAAUCCUGGACCCUGAGAAAUGAGGCUUCUAGAACUCAUUUAACAAGUUUACUAAUAGCAGUGUUAUGCUGUGAGAAUGUUCCUCAGUACAGCCAUGUGUCUCAAUUAUAUUAAUCUAUUUCUCAGACUUAAAAACAAUUAAAGUAAUCAUAAGGCACAUGCAGCCUUGUUUGAGAAAGUGUAUUUGAAAAUCAAAUGCUUCUCCCCACCCCUGCAUAGCUCCAGUUGACAGUCAAAAAUAAUUCAUCAGUAAGAGGGAAAAUGCUAUUUGUCACAUAUGACUUAGGCCAGUUUCCAAGUGCUUCAAAUAGAAGAAAAGAAACACUACAAAAAGAAAUAUGACAGGUCUACACUGCCACAUAAGUUUUUAAUUAAGAAAUUUAAAGGGAACUAAAUCUAAUUUUAAAAAACAUUAUUCUGUCAUUGUAAUCCAUAUGAACUCCCAGUCUGUUACUAGUAUAUUUUCUUAGCCAUGUGCCUGACAAUUAACUGGACAAUCUAGCUCUGCCUCAAUAAACGUAUUUCCUUCUAUCAGAUUUCCUCCCCUCUCACCAAUUUCACUGGAUGCUCUCCUUUGAACUUUUACUAUACUCAUAGGACUCAGAACUCAUGACUUGCAUUCCUUACUUCAUCACUAUAUACAGUUUCUGUCCCUACACGUCUUUGUGUACUUUCUGAUUGAAGCAGCUGUAGUCUGAUUUCAGUCUCAUUUGAUUUUUCAGUGGUUAUAAGGUUAUACUUUCUUCAGAGAAAAAUAUAUCAGCUGCACUAACACAUUGCAUCAGUCACCCUCCUGAAGAACAACAUGAAAUGUAAUUCACCUUGCUCACUUGGAUACUGUUUUUCAUUGUCAUAUGCAAUGGUAUGCUGGAUGGGAUAGUGUUCAACUGGAAGUUUCAUUAAGCAGCUCUUGGACACCAUUAAAGUGUUCUAAUAGGUGUGACUUAUUGAGCGGAAGAGUCGGUAAACAAAUGAAGUAUAAGUGACAGUACGAGACCAGAGUAACAGUAAUUAGCGAUGUGACUCCAUGAGUAAUAGGAAAAUUGCCCUGACCCAGUUGAUGGCAAUAGCAAUGAAAUCUUAAAAAAAAAAUUUAAAAAAAUUUCCCCAAAUGGGUUUUCUACCAACACUUACAAGAGUCAUGAGCAACCUUUCUGAUUGCCACACAACCCAUUUCACUCAUAUUCCACUCCAGCUGUGUUAGGACACAGUGGCAGGUGUGCUCCCCAUGUUGUCCAGAGCCAGGCGCAGGGGUGGAAGAAGGACGGGCUGGCAGCACUGUCCCAGCACCUGCAGCUGCUUGGUACAGAUCUGCCAGGCAUCGGGGCUUCACAGGCAGCCUCCAGCAACCUUCCGUUCUCUGCAGAGCACCAGCACUUGGGUGGGAACCCUGCUUACUUCAGCUGUGUGGAGUUCACACUGUCACCCUCUGCCUUGCCAGGAGCCAUGCACAGUCCUGGCUGAGCUGCCACACCUUGCCUGGUGUUCUGCACGCGGUUGCACAAAGGCCUACCAGGUGUACAAUGGUUUAUCGAUAUCCUGCCUCCGAUCAAUGUUCCACAUUUAUCCCACGCUACCCUCACCUCAGUGCCAACACAAACAUUUCAGAGAACCUAGAUUAAUGAGAGCAUAACAAAAACAAAUCUGAUCUGUCUGUGCAUGCUUUUUGUCUCUUGGAAUCACAUCACAUAUGAUUUUCCACCUCUCCUGAAUAAAGAGGAAUGUUAUAAAACAGAAAUCAGAGCAUUUUAAUGCAAAAAUAGAAUUAUCCCUCAGUAUGUGCAUGAAAAAACGAUUUUAUUUCUUUGAUGAAAAUACCAUUCACAAAAAACCCCCACCAAGCUACCAGCUGCUCUCCAAUAGAUGACAUGACCAAGAAAAAUUUCCUGGUAAGUGCCAUAAAUAAAACUAGUUUUAUUUCUCUUUUCAUAUCCUAGCAGUGUAGGCCUCAAUGGGAUCCUAUGGGGGUAAUAUCCUGGAAUAUAAUAAUGCCAAAAAAAAAAUAGAAAUAGUAUGUACACUACAAGACAAAACACAUGCACACAAAAUCAAUACUCUGAAUUUCAGGGCUCCUGAUUGCUCAAACAACUGACAGGAAAUUCACUGGUUUCAGUGCAAUUGUAAAAUGUCUGAAGAAAUACUUGGAAAGUAUGAACAGAGAAAAAAUCACAUAAAAACAAGUGGUAUUGUCUGUGUGUGGAGAGAGGCAAUGAAACUGACUGUAAUAAGAUACCUAGUAAUAUGUUUUACAAAAUAAUACAAGGUUUGGAAAGGGAACGGAAAAAUAUGCAAAUAUAAUACAAUGUACAAAAAAUACUCACUUUGAGAGUCUAUUUUGUUUGAGGUACAAUUAAAAAGUUUUUAUCAACCUACAAAUAUUCGUAACCAGUUUAUGAGUUGGUUGUUCUUUAGUCAUCCAAGGAAAGGAGUAAUCAGUAGAUGAAGUCUGGCUGAUGCAGACUCCAGAUACAGCACGUCUUCAGCACUGGUUAUAAUUAACCACUAGACUAACUUACAACACAGUUCCUGCUUUCCUCUUCAGAUCUAGAUAAAAUUACUGCUGUAAUUCAAAAAGAAAAUAUAGCUACCAGAGCAGAAAGGUGUGGAGGAGCGGAGAGGCGGCCCCAUCCCAAGACCUGCGGGGUGUGACUCCUUGUGCCUGCACCGCGCUCCGCUGCCCGAGUGACAGGUCCCAGCUCUCGCCGGCUCUUCCAGCGGCAGCUCCUCCCUUCUGGCCAGAUGGACAGCACAGCUUGGACUUGGGCUCCGGCUCCGGGGGACCCGGCUCGGGGCAGAAAGCAGCCUGUUAUAGCCGGGACGCCUCCGCUGCGGCUCACACGUACGCGCUCCGCUGCCGGGACCCGCACCCCCGCCCGCCGCUGCCCAUGGCACCGCUGUCCCCGCUGCUGCUGCUGCUGCUGCU